AUGAGAACUUGACGUUGGUUUGCUUAGCAAAUCGGUGUCGUAGCUAACGCGAUAAGUUCUCCGCCUGGGGAGUACGGCCGCAAGGUUGAAACUCAAAGGAAUUGACGGGGGGCCCGCGCAAGCGUGGAGUAUGUGGUUUAAUUCGAUGCAACGCGAAGAACCUUACCUGGUCUUGACAUGUCAAGAAGUCUGCAGAGAUGCGGAUGUGCCUUCGGGAACUUGAACACAGGUGCUGCAUGGCUGUCGUCAG
rnacentral:rRNA from 1 species